GGAUUAGAUACCCUGGUAGUCCACGCCGUAAACGAUGGUCACUAGCUGUUUUGACUUCGGUCUGAGUGGCUAAGCGAAAGUGAUAAGUGACCCACCUGGGGAGUACGUUCGCAAGAAUGAAACUCAAAGGAAUUGACGGGGGCCCGCACAAGCGGUGGAGCAUGUGGUUUAAUUCGAUGAUACGCGAGGAACCUUACCAGGGCUUAAAUGUAGAUUGCUUUAUUUGGAAGCAGAUAUUUCUUCGGACAAUUUACAAGGUGCUGCAUGGCUGUCGUCAGCUCGUGCCG
rnacentral:rRNA from 1 species